UGCCUGGCUCCCUAUUGGCCCAAGCUCUGAUGAAUACUGAUUUUGGAUAAAAGGGAUCAGAAUAUGGAUAGGCAGAAAAGGGCAGAGAUAGCUCCAAUUGAAGAUGAAGUAAAGCAGCAGAGAGGAGACGCUGCACUGCCUGGGAGUAAAUGGCUUUGUGAUGCAAGAGCAGGGGCCAUUCAAGGAGAUGGAGCAGGGGGGCUAUAGGUGUGAUUGCCCAGAGACGAGGGGUCUCUGAGAAAGAUGAUUUUCACACCAAGAGACUCUCAAAGCGUCUGAGCAGAAUCCACAUGUCAUUGUGUUGUAGACUUCAGAGAAGGCCCAUGGACAUUGAUGGAGACAGAAUGUCUGAUCAGUCUGAUCACGACACCCAGAGAGCUGAUUGGAGAACAUUCUUCUCCUGUGUGAGGAGGAGUCUUGUUUAGUAUAAAUGAAGUGGACUUUCCAUGGCUCAGGGCCAUUGUGUGAAAAUCUGUCACUGUGAUUGAACCAUUGUGCCCCGUCCGCAGACGUUUGAAUUAAAACACCAGAAGAUAUUUGUAUGGCUGCGUCCUGUAUUGAAAUUCCUAUAACAUCCUCUAUCAUGCUUUCUUGGUCUGGUCACUCCCAAUCCUUGUACCAGUGUCUUGAACCAGAGUGACGCUGGACAGGUUUGGGGGGGGCUGUGCUAAGGAGUGGUUGUGUUAUGUGCUGGAUUAUCUCUGGCUGACUUAUGUUUUCAUAUCUAUUUUCCUUGUCAUCUCGGUAUUUGGUGUUGUGUUUUCUUCUGUCUUUGACUCAAUAAAAUAAACAUUGAUGUUAUUCCACACAAAUGAGGAUUUGAAUGGCCGCGAUUUGUUGUGGUGUUUCUUAAAACUUGUUGGGGUUUGAGUAUACAGCUGUGUCCAUUGUCACUGUGUUACUGAGUCUGACAUAUACUUGAUGUGUUACUUUGUUUAAGUCUGGCAAAUAAAAGAAGACUGGACAUUUCAAA